GAUGAAGAACGUAGCGAAAUGCGAUAAGUAAUGUGAAUUGCAGAAUUCAGUGAAUCAUCGAAUCUUUGAACGCACAUUGCGCCCGCCAGUAUUCUGGCGGGCAUGCCUGUCCGAGCGUCAUUUCAACCCUCGAACCCCUCCGGGGGGUCGGCGUUGGGGACCUCGGGAGCCCCUAAGACGAGAUCCCGGCCCCGAAAUACAGUGGCGGUCUCGCCGCAGCCUCUCCUGCGCAGUAGUUUGCACAACUCGCACCGGGAGCGCGGCGCGUCCACGUCCGUAAAACACCCAACUACUGAAAUGUUGACCUCGGAUCAGGUAGGAAUACCCGCUGAACUUAAGCAUAUCAAUAAGCGGAGGA
rnacentral:misc_RNA from 1 species